GACGAACGCUGGCGGCGUGCUUAACACAUGCAAGUCGAACGAUGAUCUCCCGCUUGCGGGGGUGCUUAGUGGCGAACGGGUGAGUAAUACGUGAGUAACCUGCCCUUGACUCUGGGAUAAGCCUGGGAAACCGGGUCUAAUACUGGAUACUACUUCCUGCCGCAUGGUGGGGGGUGGAAAGGGUUUUACUGGUUUUGGAUGGGCUCACGGCCUAUCAGCUUGUUGGUGGAGUAAUGGCUCACCAAGGCGACGACGGGUAGCCGGCCUGAGAGGGUGACCGGCCACACUGGGACUGAGACACGGCCCAGACUCCUACGGGAGGCAGCAGUGGGGAAUAUUGCACAAUGGGCGGAAGCCUGAUGCAGCGACGCCGCGUGAGGGAUGACGGCCUUCGGGUUGGAAACCUCUUUCAGCAGGGAAGAAGCCACAAGUGACGGUACCUGCAGAAGAAGCGCCGGCUAACUACGUG
rnacentral:rRNA from 1 species